GCAAAUCUUAAGAGGCAGAAUAGUAAAUGAUAGCUGCGGUUCAGAAAGUUGGCGGUCGCUGUGAGCCAAUCUGUACUAUUAUUGAACUCGCUGCUGAAGAGCGACUGUGAACGUGUGUAGUGGUCGACGCGAGGCUGGCGUUAUUGGCAAAUGAGUGGAUGACAAUUGUCAUCAAACAGGGUGGUACCGCGAGAAGCCUCGUCCCUGGC
rfam:Sporomusa sphaeroides DSM 2875 SPSPH_contig000001, whole genome shotgun sequence.